GUUUAAAUAGCUUAAAAUUUAAAGCAUAAUAUUGAAGAUAUUAUUAUAGGUUAAUACCUUUUAGACA
rnacentral:tRNA from 1 species